rnacentral:rRNA from 1 species
UACGUAGGGUCCAGGCGUUAUCCGGAAUCACUGGGCGUAAAGCGUGCGUAGGCGGCGUGUUAAGUGUGAUGUUAAAUCGUGUGGCUCAACCAUAUCGAUGCAUCACAUACUGGCAUGCUAGAGGAAGGCAGAGGCAAGUGGAAUUUGUAGUGUAGCAGUGAAAUGCGUAGAUAUUACAAGGAACACCAAUGGCGAAGGCAGCUUGCUGGGCCUUUUCUGACGCUGAGGUACGAAAGCGUGGGGAGCGAACAGG